UACGUAGGGGCUAGCGUUAUCCGGAAUUACUGGGCGUAAAGGGUGCGUAGGUGGUUUCUUAAGUCAGAGGUGAAAGGCUACGGCUCAACCGUAGUAAGCCUUUGAAACUGAGAAACUUGAGUGCAGGAGAGGAGAGUAGAAUUCCUAGUGUAGCGGUGAAAUGCGUAGAUAUUAGGAGGAAUACCAGUUGCGAAGGCGGCUCUCUGGACUGUAACUGACACAGAGGCACGAAAGCGUGGGGAGCAAACAGGAUUAGAUACCCCCGUAGUCCCUGAGCGGG
rnacentral:rRNA from 1 species